CCUACGGGUGGCAGCAGUGAGGAAUAUUGGUCAAUGGGCGCGAGCCUGAACCAGCCAAGUAGCGUGAAGGAUGACUGCCCUACGGGUUGUAAACUUCUUUUAUAAAGGAAUAAAGUGAGGCACGUGUGCCUUUUUGUAUGUACUUUAUGAAUAAGGAUCGGCUAACUCCGUGCCAGCAGCCGCGGUAAUACGGAGGAUCCGCGCGUUCUCCGGAUUUAUUGGGGUUAAAGGGAGCGUAGAUGGGUUGUUAAGUCAGUUGUGAAAGUUUGCGGCUCAACCGUAAAAUUGCAAUUGAUACUGGCAGGCUGGAGUACAGUUGAGGGAGGCGGAAUGCGUGGUGUAGCGGUGAAAUGCUUAGAUAGCACGAAGAACUCCGAUUGCGAAGGCAGCUUACUAAACUGCAACUGACAUUGAUGCUCGAAAGUGUGGGUAUCAAACAGGAUUAGAGACCCCAGUAGUC
rnacentral:rRNA from 1 species